rnacentral:tRNA from 1 species
GUAAAUAUAGUUUAAAAAAACCGUCAGACUGUGAAUCUGAAGAUAGGWCAUAACCAUCCUUAUUUACC